rnacentral:rRNA from 1 species
GCUGUUAAAGCUCGUAGUUGGAUCAAGAGUCGGACAGUGCAAGGUGGCCCUGUUGGUCANGCUGGCUCCGGUCAGUCUGGCGGCAGCGGAACAACCCCUUGCAUCAAACUGUCCGCUCUAACAGACCGAAACGGUUCCCUGUGAGUAGGCUCCUUAAUUGGGGCUGAAAGCGCCUACGCAUCAACCAUAUGCAUACGGGACGUCGGUCAACGUUACUGUGAACAAACCAGCGUGUCCAAGGCAGGCCUUCGCCUGAAUGUUCGAGCAUGGAAUAACAAGGGAUCGAUUCUCUCGGUUCUUUUUGUUGGUUUUUAACCCGAGAAGGAGUAAUUCAGGCCACGGUGUCUGAGUUGGGUUUCCCUAGGUCUAGGCUUAGGCCCCAAUUAGGCCGUGUCCUUACGGGAUCAAUAGGGACUGACGGGGUCGUACCUACUUCCGCGUCAGAGGUGAAAUUCUUAGAUCGCGGGAAGAGGAACUUCUGCGAAAGCAUUCGACAAGAAUGUCUUCAUUAAUCGAGAACGAGAGUGUGGGGAUCGAAGAUGAUCAGAUACCGUCGUAGUCCACUACUGUAAACAAUGCCGUCUCAGGAUUGAGAGGUGAACAGAAUGACUCUCACAGCACUAACCCCUGAAACGAGAAAUCAAAGAUUAUGGGUUCAGGGGGGAGUACAUUCGCAAGGCUGAAACUUAAAGGAAUUGACGGAAUGACACCACAAGGCGUGGAGUAUGCGGCUUAAUCUGACUCAACACGGGGAAUUUUACUAGGUCAGACAAUGUAAGGAUUGACAGAUUGAGAGCUCUUUCUCGAUCCAUUGUGUGGUGGUGCAUGGCCGCUCCUGGUUGGUGGAGUGAUUUGUCUGGUUGAUUCCGUUAACGAACGAGAUCUCGACCCUUAAAUAGUGCGCAUGUCGAUCUGUAGCCUCACCUCCGCUAGCUUGCUGGAUUGAGUGGGGCGAGACUGUGCGAUACUCUANGGGACUGUGUGCGUCUCUAGCACGCGAGAGCGAGCAUAGCAGUCUGUGAUGCUCUUAAUGUCUAGCUGCACGCGCACUACACUGAUGCAUACGAGUCUGAUGCUCUGCNACUACUGACCGCGUGGAUCUUUGACUGCAUC